rnacentral:rRNA from 1 species
AAUGGGGGCAACCCUGAUCCAGCAAUGCCGCGUGUGUGAUGAAGGCCCUAGGGUUGUAAAGCACUUUCAACGGUGACGAUGAUGACGGUAACCGUAGAAGAAGCCCCGGCUAACUUCGUGCCAGCAGCCGCGGUAAUAUGAAGGGGGCGAGCGUUAUUCGGAAUAACUGGGCGUAAAGGGCGCGUAGGCGGUCUAUCCAGUUGGGCGUGAAAGCCCUGGGCUCAACCCAGGAAUUGCGUUCAAUACUAAUAGACUAGAGACCGAGAGAGGAUAGUGGAAUUUCCAGUGUAGAGGUGAAAUUCGUAGAUAUUGGAAAGAACACCAGUGGCGAAAGCGGCUAUCUGGCUCGGAACUGACGCUGAGGCGCGAAAGCGUGGGGAGCAAACAGGAUU